rnacentral:rRNA from 1 species
GACGAACGCUGGCGGCGUGCUUAACACAUGCAAGUCGAACGGAAAGGCCCUGCUUUUGUGGGGUGCUCGAGUGGCGAACGGGUGAGUAACACGUGAGUAACCUGCCCUUGACUUUGGGAUAACUUCAGGAAACUGGGGCUAAUACCGGAUAGGAGCUACUGCCGCAUGGUGGGGGUUGGAAAGUUUCGGCGGUUGGGGAUGGACUCGCGGCUUAUCAGCUUGUUGGUGGGGUAGUGGCUUACCAAGGCUUUGACGGGUAGCCGGCCUGGGAGGGUGACCGGCCACAUUGGGACUGAGGUACGGCCCAGACUCCUACGGUAGGCAGCAGUGGGGAAUAUUGCACAAUGGGCGGAAGCCUGAUGCAGCAACGCCGCGUUCGUGAUGACGGCCUUCGGGUUGUAAACCGCUUUCGCCUGUGACGAAGCGUUAGUGACGGUAAUGGGUAAAGAAGCACCGGCUAACUACGUG